AAGUCGUAACAAGGUCUCCGUAGGUGAACCUGCGGAGGGAUCAUUACAGGGUUCAUGCCCUUAGGGGUAGAUCUCCCACCCUUAUGUUUACAUACCUUUGUUGCUUUGGCAGGCCCGUUCAGCCCCAUGCUGAACCACCGGCUCCGGCUGGUCCGCGCCUGUCAGAGGACCCCAAACUCUGAUUUAGUGAUGUCUGAGUACUAUAUAAUAGUUAAAA
rnacentral:misc_RNA from 1 species